rnacentral:rRNA from 1 species
CCUGGCUCAGGAUGAACGCUAGCUACAGGCUUAACACAUGCAAGUCGAGGGGCAGCAUGGUCUUAGCUUGCUAAGACCGAUGGCGACCGGCGCACGGGUGAGUAACGCGUAUCCAACCUGCCUUACACUCUUGGACAGCCUUCUGAAAGGGAGAUUAAUACAAGAUGUUAUCAUGAGUAAGCAUUUUCGCAUGAUUAAAGGUUUACCGGUGUAAGAUGGGGAUGCGUUCCAUUAGAUAGUAGGCGGGGUAACGGCCCACCUAGUCUUCGAUGGAUAGGGGUUCUGAGAGGAAGGUCCCCCACAUUGGAACUGAGACACGGUCCAAACUCCUACGGGAGGCAGCAGUGAGGAAUAUUGGUCAAUGGACGAGAGUCUGAACCAGCCAAGUAGCGUGAAAGGAUGAAGGGUUCUAUGGAUUGUAAACUUCUUUUAUACGGGAAUAAACGGAUCCACGUGUGGAUUUUUGCAUGUACCGUAUGAAAUAAGGAUCGGCUAACUCCGUGCCAGCAGCCGCGGUAAUACGGAGGAUCCGAGCGUUAUCCGGAUUUAUUGGGUUUAAAGGGAGCGUAGAUGGGUUGUUAAGUCAGUUGUGAAAGUUUGCGGCUCAACCGUAAAAUUGCAAUUGAUACUGGCAGUCUUGAGUACAGUUGAGGUAGGCGGAAUUCGUGGUGUAGCGGUGAAAUGCUUAGAUAUCACGAAGAACUCCGAUUGCGAAGGCAGCUUACUAACCUGUAACUGACAUUGAUGCUCGAAAGUGUGGGUAUCAAACAGGAUUAGAUACCCUGGUAGUCCACACGGUAAACGAUGAAUACUCGCUGUAGGCGAUAUACAGUCUGCGGCCAAGCGAAAGCAUUAAGUAUUCCACCUGGGGAGUACGCCGGCAACGGUGAAACUCAAAGGAAUUGACGGGGGCCCGCACAAGCGGAGGAACAUGUGGUUUAAUUCGAUGAUACGCGAGGAACCUUACCCGGGCUUAAAUUGCAACCGAAUAUGGCGGAAACGCUAUAGCUAGCAAUAGCGGUUGUGAAGGUGCUGCAUGGUUGUCGUCAGCUCGUGCCGUGAGGUGUCGGCUUAAGUGCCAUAACGAGCGCAACCCUUGCCGAUAGUUACUAACAGGUCAUGCUGAGGACUCUGUCGGGACUGCCAUCGUAAGAUGUGAGGAAGGUGGGGAUGACGUCAAAUCAGCACGGCCCUUACGUCCGGGGCUACACACGUGUUACAAUGGGGGGUACAGAGGGCUGCUACCACGCAAGUGGAUGCCAAUCCCAAAAACCUCUCUCAGUUCGGAUUGAAGUCUGCAACCCGACUUCAUGAAGCUGGAUUCGCUAGUAAUCGCGCAUCAGCCACGGCGCGGUGAAUACGUUCCCGGGCCUUGUACACACCGCC